rnacentral:misc_RNA from 1 species
AUCUAGACAAAACAAGUCCACCGUGGGCUUUGAAAAACGCUUUCCUUGAUAAAAUUUAAGCGUUUUAUAAGAGGAUGCCGGGGAAGGUUUUCCGGUUUAUCCCGGAGGGCUUGUAGCUCAGUUGGUUAGAGCGCGCGCUUGAUAAGCGUGAGGUCGGAGGUUCAAGUCCUCCCAGGCCCACCAGUUUAUCCAUUACUUUCAUAAGUGCUUUUAAAAAAUAAGUACUUCUAAAAAGAUUGCUUCUAAAAAGCUUAUCAAAAUUGGCAGGCUUAUUGCUUUUGUGUGAGUAAUCCAAAGUUAAAGCAAAUUAAUGGCAAAAAAACAGUUCAAAUGCUAAAUACUAAGGAGUCAAAAUUCCUUGCAAAGUGAUUUUUACAGCGUCCAUUUGGUUGAUAUAAAUUCCAAAUGCUCAUAGACGUCAAUGCCUAUAUGAAACUAUCGGUUCAAUCAUAUCGCUUUGAGUUAUAUAGAUUUUGUAAUCCCUCUUUUGAUCGUUUUAAACGCUUUAUUCUGAUUUAGGGGCCGUAGCUCAGCUGGGAGAGCACC